AGCAAUAUGGCAUAGUGGUAAGGAGCAGGGCUUGUAACCGAAAGGUUGCUGGUUCGAUUCCCCAUUGCUA